AUCAAAAUUUGAGAGAAUUCGCCAGCCCAGGUCAUCGCUCAAAAAUGGUGUCAUAUUAAGUUUGCAGAUCUCCGACCGACAAGGUCCGACAACGCUAUCUGUUAUUUCUGAGUUUCAUGACGAGAUUUGCGUGACACUCAAGGCAAAACGUUCUAUCUAGCUGGUAUGCACCAAAUACAGUGGUACCUCUAUCAAGAAGUGGACAUUCUUGCGACUUGUUAGGUGUCCGCCAUGUUCGGUUUUACAGUAAAUACGCGGGUUGGGGAAAAAUCGUAGUUAAUACCAGCUUAAUAAGGGGUCUACUUAACAGAGGUACAUUUUCAUAAUACUAAAACAGUUUCCUUACCGCUUGAAGAAAAUAUACUAAGCUGCACAAGGAUGA